rnacentral:rRNA from 1 species
UCAAGCUAAUAAGAGCGCAGGGUGAAUGCCUUGGCACCAGGAGCCGAAGAAGGACGUGGCAAGCUGCGAAAAGCUGCGGUGAGGCGCAAACAGCCAUCGACCCGCAGAUGUCCGAAUGGGGGAACCCACCUGAGGUAAAUGCUCAGGUAUCCGUACAUGAACACAUAGUGUACGGAGGGGAGACGCAGGGAACUGAAACAUCUAAGUACCUGCAGGAAAAGAAAUCAACCGAGAUUCCGUAAGUAGUGGCGAGCGAAAGCGGAAGAGGCCAAACCGUGAUACGAAAGUAUUACGGGGUUGCGGACUGGCGAAAUGAUUCACGAAGCCUAGCAGAAUGAGCGGCUGGAAAGCCGAGACCACAGAGGGUAAAAGUCCCGUAUGCGAAAGGUGGAGUGACAGGCCAGGAUCCAGAGUACCACGAGACACGGGGAAUCUUGUGGGAAGCAGGGGGGCCCACCCUCCAAGCCUAAAUACUACCUGGUGACCGAUAGUGGAGCAGUACCGUGAGGGAAAGGUGAAAAGAACCCCGGGAGGGGAGUGAAAGAGAACCUGAAACCCUGUGUUUACAAGCAGUCGGAGAGCGUUAAAGCUCGACGGCGUACUUUUUGUAGAACGGUCCGGCGAGUUACAGUGUAUGGCGAGGUUAAGUGCUUAAGGCACGGAGCCGCAGGGAAACCGAGUCUGAAUAGGGCGAAAAGUCAUACGUUGUAGACCCGAAACCGGGUGACCUACCCAUGGACAGGUUGAAGCGGGAGUAAAGUUCCGUGGAGGACCGAACCCACUACUGCUGAAAAAGUAGGGGAUGAUCUGUGGGUAGCGGAGAAAUUCCAAACGAACUCGGAGAUAGCUGGUUCUCCCCGAAAUAGCUUUAGGGCUAGCCUCAGGUUAGUCUAGCGGAGGUAAAGCACUGAAUGGGCUAGGGGCCUUACCGGGUUACCGAACCCUAUCAAACUCUGAAUGCCGCAUAGAUGAUGCCUGGGAGUCAGACUAUGGGAGAUAAGUUUCAUAGUCAAAAGGGAAACAGCCCAGACCGCCGACUAAGGUCCCGAAGUCAUGGUUAAGUGGGAAAGGAUGUGGGCUUGCUAAGACAACUAGGAUGUUGGCUUAGAAGCAGCCAUUCAUUCAAAGAGUGCGUAAUAGCUCACUAGUCGAGUGAGCCUGCGCCGAAAAUUAACGGGGCUAAGUUGCAUACCGAAGUCGCGGGUUCAUAUGUGCUUUAUGGCAUGUCCUUGGAAAUGGAGCGCGGAGAAAAUUUUAGCAGAAAAUGACCUUGAAGAAAUGAUUCAAAAUUUUCUGCCAAAUUUUCUCAAGCUAAACUGCAUGCAUGGAUGAGUGCAGGGGAAAGAGAGAAUAAUGCUGAAGCGAAAGGAAGAAGGGGAUGGCAUAAAGCACAUAUGAGCGGUAGGGGAGCGUAGUAUACGGGUUGAAGCAUGACCGAAAGGACAUGUGGACUGUAUAGUAGAGAGAAUGCCGGAAUGAGUAGCGAGAGUGAAGUGAGAAUCUUUACCGCCGAAAGCCUAAGGUUUCCUGGGGAAGGCUCGUCCGCCCAGGGUUAGUCGGGACCUAAGCUGAGGCCGGAAGGCGUAGGCGAUGGACAACAGGUUGAUAUUCCUGUACCACCGUUAUCCGUUUGAGAGAAGGGGGGACGCAGGGAGAUAGAGUGAGCGAGUAACUGGAAGAACUCGUCCAAGAGGAAUAGAAAGUCCGGCAGGCAAAUCCGCCGGAUGAUUCGAAGCCUUGACGGGGAGGGAAAUUAGAGUACCGAAGCACUCGAUUCUGCACUGACGAGAAAAGCCUCUAUCGAGGAUAAAGGUGCCCGUACCGCAAACCGACACAGGUAGGCGAGGAGAGAAUCCUAAGGCGAGCGGGAGAAGCGUUGUUAAGGAACUCGGCAAAUUGACCCCGUAAGUUCGCGAGAAGGGGUGCCUGAAGCGGAGCAAUCCGUGGAGGGCCGCAGAGAAAUGGCCCAAGCAACUGUUUAUCAAAAACACAGGUCUCUGCUAAAUCGAAAGAUGACGUAUAGGGGCUGACGCCUGCCCGGUGCUGGAAGGUUACGGGGAUCUGUUAGCGCAAGCGAAGCAGUGAACUUAAGCCCCAGUAAACGGCGGCCGUAACUAUAACGGUCCUAAGGUAGCGAAAUUCCUUGUCGGGUAAGUUCCGACCCGCACGAAUGGCGUAAUGACUUGGGCACUGUCUCGACAACGCGCCCGGUGAAAUUGUAGUACUCGUGAAGAUGCGAGUUACCCGCGACUAGACGGAAAG